GUGCUCACUUUGGCAGCACAUAUACUAAAAUAGGAAUGAUACAGAGAAUAUUAGCAUGUCCCCUGUGAAAUGAUGACAUGCAAAUUCGUGAAGCUUUCCAUAUUUUU